GAUGAACGCUAGCGAUAGGCUUAACACAUGCAAGUCGAGGGGCAGCACAAGGUAGCUUGCUAUCUGGGUGGCGACCGGCGCACGGGUGCGUAACGCGUAUGCAACUUGCCCUAUACAGGAGGAUAACCCGUCGAAAGACGGACUAAUACUGCGUAUGCUCACAACUUGGCAUCAAGUGGUGAGGAAAGAAAUUCGGUAUAGGAUAGGCAUGCGUCCCAUUAGCUUGUUGGUGAGGUAACGGCUCACCAAGGCAACGAUGGGUAGGGGAACUGAGAGGUUUAUCCCCCACACCGGUACUGAGACACGGACCAGACUCCUACGGGAGGAAGCAGUGAGGAAUAUUGGUAAAUGGGCGCGAGCCUGAACCAGCCAAGUCGCGUGAAGGAUGACUGUCUUAUGGAUUGUAAACUUCUUUUAGACGGGAAUAACAAGAGUCACGUGUGACUCCCUGCAUGUACCGUAUGAAUAAGCAUCGGCUAACUCCGUG
rnacentral:rRNA from 1 species